rnacentral:rRNA from 1 species
UAGCGUAGGGGGCUAGCGUUGUCCGGAAUCAUUGGGCGUAAAGCGCGCGUAGGCGGCCCGGUAAGUCCGCUGUAAAAGUCAAAGGCUCAACCUUUGAAUGUCAGUGGAUACUGCCGGGCUAGAGUCCGGAAGAGGCGAGUGGAACUCCUGGUGUAGCGGUGGAAUGCGCAGAUAUCAGGAAGAACACCGACGGCGAAGGCAGCUCGCUGGGACGGUACUGACGCUGAGGCGCGAAAGCGUGGGG